rnacentral:rRNA from 1 species
CAAGUCGAACGCGAAAGUUCCCUUCGGGGAGCAAGUAGAGUGGCGCACGGGUGAGUAACACGUAGGUAAUCUACCUUUGGAUUGGGACUAACACCGAGAAAUCGGUGCUAAUACCGAAUAAUGCAGCGGCACCUAAUGGUGACAGUUGUUAAAGCGGGGGAUCGCAAGACCUCGCGUCUAAAGAGGAGCCUGCGGCGGAUUAGCUAGUUGGUAAGGUAACGGCUUACCAAGGCGAUGAUCCGUAGCCGGCCUGAGAGGGCGGUCGGCCACACUGACACUGACAUACGGGUCAGACUCCUACGGGAGGCAGCAGUCGGGAAUUUUGGGCAAUGGGCGAAAGCCUGACCCAGCAACGCCGCGUGAAGGAUGAAAUCCCUCGGGAUGUAAACUUCGCAAGAACGGGAAGAAUAAGUCGGUGCUAACACCAUCGGCGAUGACGGUACUGUUUGUAAGCUCCGGCUAACUCCGUGCCAGCAGCCGCGGUAAUACGGGGGGAGCAAGCGUUGUUCGGAUUUACUGGGCGUAAAGGGCGCGUAGGCGGCCACCGCAAGUCGACUGUGAAAUCUCCGGGCUUAACUCGGAAAGGUCAGCCGAUACUGCGGGGCUAGAGUGCAGAAGGGGCAACUGGAAUUCUCGGUGUAGCGGUGAAAUGCGUAGAUAUCGAGAGGAACACCUGCGGCGAAGGCGGGUUGCUGGGCUGACACUGACGCUGAUUGUGCGAAAGCUAGGGGAGCGAACGGGAUUAGAUACCCCGGUAGUCCUAGCCUUAAACGAUGAAUGCUUGGUGUCUGGGGUUUUAUAGUCCCCGGGUGCCGUCGCUAACGCUUUAAGCAUUCCGCCUGGGGAGUACGGUCGCAAGACUGAAACUCAAAGGAAUUGACGGGGACCCGCACAAGCGGUGGA